rnacentral:lncRNA from 1 species
AUUCUUUAUCCUUAACUACAGACCUGGCUGCAAUACCACCCAAGGAGGAAAAGGGAAUAUCAGGAUGUAAUAAGGUGAGGGGAGCAGUGUGCAGCAUCCACACAUUUUAAAAAGUUUGUUGCUGAUCACCUGAAGGUGACUACCGGUCACAAGGAGCAGACAUCACCAUGAAGGAUUUUAGCGUUUUUUCUAGAUAUGAGGAGAUGCAAGAAUUGGGCACAUGAAAUCUUCUAAAAAUAUCUGACUAUCUGAAGACCUGUUCUUCCAGCUUUCCCAGAGCACAGAGUGCCUCCCUCCUGAUGUUUGCCCUGAGCUGGUCAGCAGCUGCAGUGGCUCAUAAUCUAAUCAGGUCGCAAACCAUUUGGUGUUGAGUGUAUACACCCUUCAGGAUUCAGAUUGGAUUGUUGGAAGGGUUGCUGUCCCCUCAGUUCAGGAGACAACUAGAACACUCCUGGUAGCCUGCAGUCUUGGAGACACAAACUUGACCAGAAAAUGAAGAAUUAGAGGCCCAAUCAAAAGAAUCACUAUGUCUAUGACGAAAGAGAUACCAGUAGAUUUAGCCAAUUGAACUAAGACUGGGGAUGAAGUCCUGUGUAGAAUUCCAGACAUCCCAGGCAAGAGGGUUAUUCAUGUCAUGGAACCAGCUUUCCUGUCGGUAUAUUUUCUGUAUAUCUUGUCCCACUCAUCUGGAGGUAUUUGUCCAUGUGUACCAGGAGGUGUUAGCAGUUGCGCAGAUACUGCCUUGUCCUGCCACGAGAUGAUCAAAGCCAUUCUGUUAUCCAUCCCUGCAUUGGCUAAGGAACCCACC